rnacentral:tRNA from 1 species
GGCCCCAUCGUCUAACGGUUAGGACAACGGGUUUUCAAUCCGUCAAUCAGAGUUCGAUUCUCUGUGGGGUCA